rnacentral:misc_RNA from 1 species
AACAAGGCGUACCUGCGGACCUGCGGAGGGAUCAUUACCGAGUUUACAACUCCCAAACCCAUGUGAACAUACCUAUCGUUGCUUCGGCGGGAUCGCCCCGGGCGCCUCGUGUGCCCCGGAUCCGGCGCCCGCCUAGGAACCUUAACUCUUGUUUUAUUUUGGAAUCUUCUGAGUAGUUUUUACAAAUAAAUAAAAACUUUCAACAACGGAUCU